rnacentral:rRNA from 1 species
GAUGUCCUACGGGACGCAGCAGUAGGGAAUCCUCCACAAUGGGCGAAAGCCUGAUGGAGCAACGCUGCGUGGGUGAAGAAGGUCUUCGGAUCGUAAAACCCUGUUGUUAGAGAAGAAAGUGCGUGAGAGUAACUGUUCACGUUUCGACGGUAUCUAACCAGAAAGCCACGGCUAACUACGUGCCAGCAGCCGCGGUAAUACGUAGGUGGCAAGCGUUAUCCGGAUUUAUUGGGCGUAAAGGGAACGCAGGCGGUCUUUUAAGUCUGAUGUGAAAGCCUUCGGCUUAACCGGGGUAGUGCAUUGGG